CUGCAGUAACCACCAAUAGCUCAAUAUGUAUAUACACCAACCCAAAGUACCAUCAAUACACCAAUAUCUCGAUCACGACAUGACAACCAUGUAUGGAAAGGUUAACCCACUUGACUCAUUUAUUCAUCUAAACCAUGUACCUAGAUGAUGCCUUUGAAUCUGACGGUAUAAAACCAAUGAACCAGACAAUCUUACAAUCUGAGCUACAGGUAACAAGUCGAGGACAUCUUCGAUCACAACAGUCUAUCAGCCAAUAUUCCCAAGAAGUCGCUCCACCGCAGCAUGAACAUUUCCCGCUGUAGCAAUCA
rnacentral:lncRNA from 1 species